rnacentral:rRNA from 1 species
AGAGUUUGAUCCUGGCUCAGGACGAACGCUGGCGGCGUGCCUAAUACAUGCAAGUCGAGCGGAUGGAUUCAGAGCUUGCUCUGAUGAUGUCAGCGGCGGACGGGUGAGUAACACGUGGGUAACCUGCCUGCAGAUCGGGGAUAACGCUUGGAAACGAGUGCUAAUACCGGAUAGGCUCUUGGUUCGCAUGAUCCGAGAGG